UUUCACGGGAGGGAGAGCGGCCUGGGGUGAGGGUGUAUGCGUAGAGUGUGUCGUGGAAGGUGCGUGUGGGCCGCGUGUAUGAAUGGCUGCAUGAAUGAAUGCGUGAAUGGGCGUGCAAGGCAAGCGAGAGAUUCCCUCAGCGCCUCCUCCCCCCGUCUACACCUUGAUCUUAUUUGAUCGGGUCGUGACCGCAGCCCCGCCGGGCCACCCCGAAAUGAAAAGCUCCCCUCCUGCGAAGCCCCCUGCUCGGGGCGCUGUGCAGCGAGGCCCUAUUGGCGGCGGCAGAGCCGUGGUUCCGAGGUCCCGGAGCUGGUCCUGCGGGCCCGGCGCUCAGAAGUGAUGAAUUGAUCAGAUAGACGAGGCCGGGCCUGCCCCGGGCCGCUGAUUACCGAGGCGAUUCUGAUCUGA
ensembl:scaRNA small Cajal body-specific RNA 2